rnacentral:rRNA from 1 species
CGCGUAGGCGGAUUGGAAAGUUGGGGUGAAAUCCCAGGGCUCAACCCUGGAACGGCCUCCAAAACUCCCAGUCUUGAGUUCGAGAGAGGUGAGUGGAAUUCCGAGUGUAAAGGUGAAAUUCGUAGAUAUUCGGAGGAACACCAGUGGCGAAGGCGGCUCACUGGCUCGAUACUGACGCUGAGGUGCGAAAGUGUGGGGAGCAAACAG